rfam:Oryza nivara chromosome 1, whole genome shotgun sequence.
AAUAAAUACAAUUUUACAUUAUUUUAUAUCCAAUAUUUAACCGUUUUUCUUAUUUAAAAAUUUUUUAUGAUUAGUAUUUUUAUUGUUAUUUAAUUAUAAAACAUGAAUAGUAAUUAAUGUGUGAUUUUUUUUCUAUUUUUUCAUAAAUUUUUCAAAUAAGACGGAGGGUCAAACGUUGGACACGGAUACCCACGACUACAUUUAUU